GUAUCUUAGCAACACCUUGAUGUGACGACUCUGCUUCACGCUUAUGUUUAAAAGACUUCUGGAACUGGCCUCAUCUGAACUGGUUUCCAUGGAAAUCCUCAGUCCACCAGUCAAACUUCAGUACGUUCUGACCUCUGUGACGAAGCUCAGAAACCUGCAGAUUGACAGCAUUUUACCCCACAAGCGAGCAGAUUAAAAAAUGAAGGAAGAAGAGGAGGAAGUUUCAAUUGAGGAGAAAAACCAUCAACUGUCUUCCCUGCCAGCAGAAAAUCAAUGUCAAGCCAGGCCUCAUGAUGAAGAGAAAGGUGGGCCCAGUGAAGGACUGUCGGCUCAUCAGACCCCAACUGUGGACAAAC